rnacentral:rRNA from 1 species
GCGAAGCGUGCGAUUGGAUUGCACGUCUAAGCAGUAAGGCUGAGUAUUAGGCAAAUCCGGUACUCGUUAAGGCUGAGCUGUGAUGGGGAGAAGACAUUGUGUCUUCGAGUCGUUGAUUUCACACUGCCGAGAAAAGCCUCUAGAUAGAAAAUAGGUGCCCGUACCGCAAACCGACACAGGUAGUCAAGAUGAGAAUUCUAAGGUGAGCGAGCGAACUCUCGUUAAGGAACUCGGCAAAAUGACCCCGUAACUUCGGGAGAAGGGGUGCUCUUUAGGGUUAACGCCCAGAAGAGCCGCAGUGAAUAGGCCCAAGCGACUGUUUAUCAAAAACACAGGUCUCUGCUAAACCGUAAGGUGAUGUAUAGGGGCUGACGCCUGCCCGGUGCUGGAAGGUUAAGAGGAGUGGUUAGCUUCUGCGAAGCUACGAAUCGAAGCCCCAGUAAACGGCGGCCGUAACUAUAACGGUCCUAAGGUAGCGAAAUUCCUUGUCGGGUAAGUUCCGACCCGCACGAAAGGCGUAACGAUUUGGGCACUGUCUCAACGAGAGACUCGGUGAAAUCAUAGUACCUGUGAAGAUGCAGGUUACCCGCGACAGGACGGAAAGACCCCGUGGAGCUUUACUGUAGCCUGAUAUUGAAAUUCGGCACAGCUUGUACAGGAUAGGUAGGAGCCUUUGAAACGUGAGCGCUAGCUUACGUGGAGGCGCUGGUGGGAUACUACCCUAGCUGUGUUGGCUUUCUAACCCGCACCACUUAUCGUGGUGGGAGACAGUGUCAGGCGGGCAGUUUGACUGGGGCGGUCGCCUCCUAAAAGGUAACGGAGGCGCUCAAAGGUUCCCUCAGAAUGGUUGGAAAUCAUUCAUAGAGUGUAAAGGCAUAAGGGAGCUUGACUGCGAGACCUACAAGUCGAGCAGGGUCGAAAGACGGACUUAGUGAUCCGGUGGUUCCGCAUGGAAGGGCCAUCGCUCAACGGAUAAAAGCUACCCCGGGGAUAACAGGCUUAUCUCCCCCAAGAGUUCACAUCGACGGGGAGGUUUGGCACCUCGAUGUCGGCUCAUCGCAUCCUGGGGCUGUAGUCGGUCCCAAGGGUUGGGCUGUUCGCCCAUUAAAGCGGUACGCGAGCUGGGUUCAGAACGUCGUGAGACAGUUCGGUCCCUAUCCGUCGUGGGCGUAGGAAAUUUGAGAGGAGCUGUCCUUAGUACGAGAGGACCGGGAUGGACAUACCUCUGGUGUACCAGUUGUCGUGCCAACGGCAUAGCUGGGUAGCUAUGUGUGGACGGGAUAAGUGCUGAAAGCAUCUAAGCAUGAAGCCCCCCUCAAGAUGAGAUUUCCCAACUUCGGUUAUAAGAUCCCUCAAAGAUGAUGAGGUUAAUAGGUUCGAGGUGGAAGCAUGGUGACAUGUGGAGCUGACGAAUACUAAUCGAUCGAAGACUUAAUCAA